rnacentral:lncRNA from 1 species
UCCAUAAGGCAUUGAAACAAGUCAGUCAUUAGUGUAAAAUGAAUUUAAAUGAAGAAAUCAUGUAUUAAAUAUUUUAAGGUGGAUCUCUUCUCUAGCUUUGCUGGAACACACUAUCUCGAUUUGGGAGAAAGAAUUCAAGAUUUUUUUCCCUAGAAAAACUAGAACAUUAGACCAAAGAUUGGAGCCCUCCAGCCAAGUCUUGUCAACUUAUCUCCCCUGGAGACUGAAGAGUGCUCUAGGAUUGGACUGUCCUCCAACCAUGACAGCAAGCACUUCUACUUAUUAACUAUUUUUGCCAGAUGCUCCUUUUAUAUUGUUGCAGCAGUGGGAUUUUUGCCAGAACUGAACUCAGCCGCUUCCUUGGGAAUGUUGUCCAGUUGCUAAUUUCACUACCGGAACUGUGUUCCUUUGCGUCCUGGCCUAUUUCCAUGCAUGCUUCCACUGGAAUAAAGGGUCUGACAGUUCUGUGGAUAAUGGUAAACAUAUGCAGCCAAUGCUGUGCAGUUCUUUUAGAGCCAGAAAGCAUUAGUAGGUAUUUCAGUUGCUGGCAACAAAAAAAACAAUGUAAGGCACUUCAUCAAACACCAGAACCCAAAGAAAACUACACAUCAAUGAUUUUAAUACACAGCAAGUUUCUUCUUUCAUCCUUUCUUUUCUAAGUCAUUGGCUAAUUAAAAAUGAAAGUCAGACUAUUAUGACAACCUAAUUCCAAACUUUAAAACUACAGGGGAAAAGGUUGGAUUGCGAGGGAAAGAGAAUAUUACAACUUGUUUAUUUUGGAUACUAUUCCCAUUUCAAGUUAGGCUUUUUGAUUCUUUAAGUGUACAAGAGAACUUUGACUUUCCUGAGUACACAAGGGAAAAAUUACAUAUUGUGAUGUCAUUGCCUUGAGGAUUUCCCAUACCACUGAGUACAUUAGUCACACUGUCAAUGUCAAGGAGAUAUAAAAGAAAAAGGGGAAAAAGCAUAUUAUCUUCCUAUGAGAAUCAGUAAUGAUUUUUCUUUGGAUGCAUUUAUUCAAAAUUGUUUCCUAAAUUCCAGUGGAAUUUAAGAGAGCUAUUUUAAAACACAUAAUGACAUCUGUAGCAGGUCAUCUUGUGAUACUCUAUUACCAGCCUAAUAAAAACAUUACUAUGUAAUGGUAAAUAAGAAUA